rnacentral:rRNA from 1 species
AUUGAACGCUGGCGGCAGGCCUAACACAUGCAAGUCGAACGAGUGGCGGACGGGAGAGAAAUGUCUGGGAAACUGCCUGAUGGAGGGGGAUAACUACUGGAAACGGUAGCUAAUACCGCAUACCAUCAGAUGUGCCCAGAUGGGAUUAGCUAGUGGGUGGGAUAACGGCGCACCAAGGCGAAGAUCCCUAGCUGGUCUGAGAGGAUGACCAGCCACACGGGAACGUGGACACUGUCCAGCCUCUUACGGGUGGCAGCAGUGGGGAAUAUUGCACAAUGGGGGCAAUCCUGAUGCAGCCAUCCCGCGUGUAUGAAGAAGGCCUUCGGGUUGUAAAGUACUUUCAGCGGGGAGGCGUUACCCGCAGAAGAAGCACCGGCUAACUCCGUGCCAGCAGCCGCGGUAAUUC